AUUGAACGCUGGCGGCAUGCUUUACACAUGCAAGUCGAACGGCAGCGCGGGCUUCGGCCUGGCGGCGAGUGGCGAACGGGUGAGUAAUGCAUCGGAACGUGCCCAGCAGUGGGGGAUAGCCCGGCGAAAGCCGGAUUAAUACCGCAUACGACCUGAGGGUGAAAGCGGGGGACCGAAAGGCCUCGCGCUAUUGGAGCGGCCGAUGUCGGAUUAGCUAGUUGGUGGGGUAAAGGCUUACCAAGGCGACGAUCCGUAGCUGGUCUGAGAGGACGACCAGCCACACUGGGACUGAGACACGGCCCAGACUCCUACGGGAGGCAGCAGUGGGGAAUUUUGGACAAUGGGGGCAACCCUGAUCCAGCCAUGCCGCGUGCGGGAAGAAGGCCUUCGGGUUGUAAACCGCUUUUGUUCGGGAAGAAAUCCUCUGGGCUAAUACCCCGAGGGGAUGACGGUACCGGAAGAAUAAGCACCGGCUAACUACGUG
rnacentral:rRNA from 1 species